rnacentral:snRNA from 1 species
GUGCCUGCUUCGGCUGUACAUAUAAUGAAAUUGGGACGACACAGAGGAGAUGAGCGUGGCCCCUGGCGCGAGGAUGAUACGCACAAUCGUGAAGCGUUCCACUUUUAA